rnacentral:rRNA from 1 species
GACGAACGCUGGCGGCGUGCUUAACACAUGCAAGUCGAACGGAAAGGCCCUGCUUGCAGGGUACUCGAGUGGCGAACGGGUGAGUAACACGUGGGUGAUCUGCCCUUCACUUCGGGAUAAGCCUGGGAAACUGGGUCUAAUACCGGAUAGGAGCCAUUUUUAGUGUGAUGGUUGGAAAGUUUUUUCGGUGUAGGAUGAGCUCGCGGCCUAUCAGCUUGUUGGUGGGGUAAUGGCCUACCAAGGCGGCGACGGGUAGCCGGCCUGAGAGGGUGGACGGCCACAUUGGGACUGAGAUACGGCCCAGACUCCUACGGGAGGCAGCAGUGGGGAAUAUUGCACAAUGGGCGCAAGCCUGAUGCAGCGACGCCGCGUGGGGGAUGACGGCCUUCGGGUUGUAAACUCCUUUCGCUAGGGACGAAGCUUUUUGUGACGGUACCUAGAUAAGAAGCACCGGCUAACUACGU